UACGGAGGGUGCGAGCGUUGUCCGGAAUCAUUGGGCGUAAAGGGCGCGUAGGUGGCCCGGUCAGUUCGUGGUGAAAGCGCGGGGCUCAACCCUGCGUCGGCCAUGAAUACUGCCGCGGCUGGAGCACUGUAGAGGCAGGCGGAAUUCCGGGGUGUAGCGGUGGAAUGCGUAGAGAUCCGGAAGAACACCGGUGGCGAAGGCGGCCUGCUGGGCAGUUGCUGGACACUGAGGCGCGACAGCGUGGGGA
rnacentral:rRNA from 1 species